rnacentral:rRNA from 1 species
UACAGAGGUCUCAAGCUGUUGUUCGGAUUCAUUGGGCGUAAAGGGUGCGUAGGCGGCGCGGUAAGUCGGGUGUGAAAUCUCGGAGCUUAACUCCGAAACUGCAUUCGAUACUGCCGUGCUUGAGGACUGGAGAGGAGACUGGAAUUUACGGUGUAGCGGUGAAAUGCGUAGAUAUCGUAAGGAAGACCAGGUGGCGAAGG